UACGAAGGGGGCUAGCGUUGCUCGGAAUCACUGGGCGUAAAGGGUGCGUAGGCGGGUCUUUAAGUCAGGGGUGAAAUCCUGGAGCUCAACUCCAGAACUGCCUUUGAUACUGAGGAUCUUGAGUUCGGGAGAGGUGAGUGGAACUGCGAGUGUAGAGGUGAAAUUCGUAGAUAUUCGCAAGAACACCAGUGGCGAAGGCAGCUCGCUGGGACGUUACUGACGCUGAGACGCGAAAGCGUGGGGAGCAAACAGG
rnacentral:rRNA from 1 species